ACGAGUUUUGGUGUUUGUCUAUUUCUGCAGGAGGUUAUCAGGAAAUACGGAAGAAAGGCUCACACGUCGGGAUUACAUAGAGAUAUUAACAAGCCGCGCAAUUAUCUUACAUCUAGAAGACUCCAGAAGCCACGAGACCGAAGCGGAGACGAAACGGGGCCAGAGGCAGGGCGCUCGCCCUGUUCCCCUAGGCGCCCGCCCCCUCCCUGAGUCCAAUCAGGACUCUGCUUCGUGUGAGAUCUCCACCGACCUAAAGGAUGAAUCUAAACCAUACAAUCUAAGUCGGUUUGAUCCAACGGCCCAUAUUCACUUCAAGGGACUAUAAAACCAGACCCCUGGCCCUUGGAGGAGAGAGCCUCUCAACCCUAAUUCAUUAUUCUCAAGGGAGAAGAAGCCCCUGAUCAAGAUUAGAGCCACCACAUCAAUUAAAUAUCUAGAUUAGCAUAGCUACAUAGGAUUAGAACUAGAAGGAGUCAAUCUUCGAUUGGUUUUCGGAUCUGUCAAGAGGAUUCUUGGUAAUUCUCUAAUUGUGCUUCUAAUUGUUCUUCAAUAUUAUGAAUAUGACUUUGUUCUACUUCAAUAUAUUGCUUAUGACUUUGCUCUACUUGUUUAUAUUCAAGAUUAUAUUGUUCUUAGUUUAUCAUAGUUAUGUACUUGGCUUAGUUAGAUUGGAUCUAUAUACAUGCUUAGGAUCGUAUAGCGUUUAUCCAUCGGAUCCAUGGGUAAAUGAUAGAUAUUGUGUAGGCGUGGUGCUUAUACCGUAUUUAUCUGCGAUUGUACCCAAUAUGCCAGAUCGUGGGGUAGUUCGUGAUAGUGACAGCUUCAUUGAUUCUUAUAUAGUCCCCCUCUCGUGUAUUGGGCUGGCAGAGCAAUAUUAUUACAGGGGAGUGAUUGCUAUGUUUCUCAUAUUCCUUGCUAAUAUCACUAUGCAUGGGCGUAGUCUUGUCUCACAAUGAUUGCUAAGUAUGCUUGCACUAACUAUGAUAAUGCUAGACUAUAUAGUUGAGAAUAACUUAGGAAAUAUUCUUGUAGUUCGUUCUAAUUCUAUGCUAAUGACUUUCUAGAGUAUCUAAUUGAGGUGCUUAUCAUAUUUAUUAUGUGGCUAGUUAUGAUCAGAUUAAUUAUCUUUGUCACUAUUCAUUACUUCAUAUAUCUUUUAUGUGACACUUACCCCUGUAUGAAAGAGUUAGAUAAUUGUUCUCAAUUACAUAUGCAAUGAUAGAUACUCAAUCUCAUAUUCUUUUCUGUAAUCACUAUUGAUGAUUGCUAAUCCCUUCCCAGUGGUAAAAAUAUAAAUAACGAUACCUGGAAUACUUCCCGGUUAAAAUGCUACAUCGGUAUUAAUCUGUGCGCUUGCAGAUCCCAUUCAUGAUUCAUUUAGAAGAGCAAUCGCAUAUUUCAAUACCGCGUCUCUCAUGUCAUGCUGGGGAUGACAACUUGGCUUAAGUGGUAUGAGGGAUAGGUUUGGCAUUUUUGGCACCGUUACUAGAAUUAGGAAUUGUCUACUUUUGGUAGUUAUGUUAAGAAUACCCAACAGUCAACUGGGCGGGCGCCCAGUGCCUGGCCCCGGUCGGCCUCCGCUUCCUUCCCGUGGCUUCUGGAGUCUUCUAGAUGGUAGAAAAUUGCGCGGUGCGUUGUUAUCUCUAUGUAAUCCCGACAUGUGGGCCUUUCUUCUUUAUUUCCUGAUAACCCCCUGCAGAAACAGAUAAACAACAAAACUCGUGGAAUUCUGUCAGAUCAAACCCUAAUUCUAGGUGUUGGUUGUGUUAGGAACGACGUAUGGAGUAUGAAAUCAAUCAACGCAGAGACACACGAUUUACGUGAAAACCCCUCCAAUGCGAAGGGGAAAAACCACGGGCACCAGCCAACAACGAUCUCACUAUCUCAAGAGUUUGGGUUACACGCCUGCGGCGGCUUACAAGAGAAUCGAGUCUCCACGAAACCCUAGCAAGGGUAUAUACCGUACCGCGGGGGGCUCCGCCACCCCGGACCCCCCCUGUGCUCUGGCCCCAGCCUCCGGCGACGGGCCUCCGCUUCGCUCCGUCAGAAGCCCGGCCAUUAUCCUGAAGUGAAUUUGGAACAACUCCAACAAACUCCACCUUGAGACAAAUUCUUCUUGUAUCAUAAAUCAACCCAUCAUCCUGAACAACAAAGAUAGAAAACCAGUGGUGCCAACAAUAGUCUCUUGGACUAUUCAAUCAAACCUACUAAGCUUGAGCAUAACUCAAACUUAGCAACAGGAAUAGGCUUUGUCAUCAUAUCAGCAGGAUUAUCAUGAGUACUAAUCUUGCAUACCUUCAGCUUACCUUCCUCAAUCACAUCACGCACAAAAUGAUACUUGAUAUCUAUGUGCUUAGUUCUCUCAUAGAACAUCUGAUCUUUAGUGAGGUAAAUUGCACUUUGACUAUCACAAUGCAAACUUAUGCAAGAUUCAACUCCACUGAGCUCAGCGUACAAACCUUUUAACCAAAUCAACUCUUUGCACGCUUCACAAAUAGCCAUAUAUUCUGCCUCAGUAGUAGACAAAGCAACAACAGACUGUAAAGUAGCCCUCCAACUCACAGCACAACUGCCAACAGUAAACACAUAACCAGUAAGUGAUCUUCGCCUGUCCAAAUCAGC
rnacentral:lncRNA from 1 species